UACAGAGGGUGCAAGCGUUAAUCGGAAUUACUGGGCGUAAAGCGUGCGCAGGCGGUUAUGUAAGACAGGUGUGAAAUCCCCGGGCUUAACCUGGGAACUGCAUUUGUGACUGCACGGCUAGAGUGUGUCAGAGGGGGGUAGAAUUCCACGUGUAGCAGUGAAAUGCGUAGAGAUGUGGAGGAAUACCGAUGGCGAAGGCAGCCCCCUGGGAUAACACUGACGCUCAUGCACGAAAGCGUGGGGAGCAAACAGG
rnacentral:rRNA from 1 species